rnacentral:rRNA from 1 species
AUGUUUGAGUUAUUCAAAGUUCUAAGUACAAAUUCGCAUCAGGCACACACAAACACAUCCAUGGAAGAAUUGGCAAGGAUGUUUAAAAACAUGUUAAAAGAUACUCCCUCUGUCUGUAAGAUGUUUUUGCAGGCUUGUUUAACUUGCAAAAAUUUCUUACAUUGUGGGACGGAGGGAGUAGGAAACAAAUAUCUGAAGAAGUGUGGGGGCACCAAGUGUUAUAUGAGCGGGGCGGUGAAUCACCUACAAGGCGCCCCCGACCAAGUUCGAGGUAGUCUUUUGGCUUUGGAUUUUCUACAGUAA